GGAGAUGGUCCACAUUCUUAUUCUGGGUCAGAACAAGGAGAAUGAUACCAAUUUUUUAAAGAGAAGAUGAAGGGUUACUGCAAAUUCACAUCUACCCGAGUGACUGAAAGGUGAAGUGAAUGGAUCAGCAGAGAGUCCAUCUUGUUACCAUCUGCCCUCCUGUGUAUUCCUCAGCAUGGCCACCCUGACUGACUGAGUGAUUUGGCUGGGACCAGGAAGAAACUCCAUGAUCACCCCUGUGCACAUGGUCCAUUAUGAAACGACAGGGCUUCAGGACCACAGAAGAAAUGUGCAAAUCGGCUGAAGAGCAGGCCUUCGGAGGACUGCAGAGCAGGCAGAUCACAAGAAUGGAUACACUGAGUUAAGAUGCCCACCUUGAUCAAGAUUUGUUAGGUUGCCUCUGGAUUAUGAAAGAGACUAAGAAUGAAUGCUUUCCAAGCUGGUUUACUCAUUGUUCCUGGUCUUGAAGCUCUGUGGUUACAUCUAAGUGUUAGGAGCAGGAAGACCAAUGAUAAAUACCCAGGAGUGGAAUUACUGGGUUGGAUGG